AUGCAGAUACUAAUACAACAAAUACAAAUCAAUGUUCUCUCUUAUGAUACUCAAAGAGAUUUUCUAUGAAAUGUUGGCUGAUGAAAUAUAAAAUAGAUGUUUUAACUUUUGAAUUGGUUAACAAGGGAAGGCUUUUGAUGUAUAAACGCAAACAUUAGCAAUAUCUUACAUGAGAUACAAUUAGUUAUUAAAAAGAGGUGUAGGGUAUAAA
rnacentral:lncRNA from 1 species